rnacentral:rRNA from 1 species
AUUGAACGCUGGCGGAAUGCUUUACACAUGCAAGUCGAACGGCAGCACGGACUUCGGUCUGGUGGCGAGUGGCGAACGGGUGAGUAAUGUAUCGGAACGUGCCCAGUCGUGGGGGAUAACGUAGUGAAAAUUACGCUAAUACCGCAUACGAUCUAUGGAUGAAAGCGGGGGAUCGCAAGACCUCGCGCGAUUGGAGCGGCCGAUAUCAGAUUAGGUAGUUGGUGGGGUAAAGGCCCACCAAGCCAACGAUCUGUAGCUGGUCUGAGAGGACGGACAGCCACACUGGAACGGCGACACGGUCCAGACUCCUACGGGAGGCAGCAGUGGGGAAUUUUGGACAAUGGGCGAAAGCCUGAUCCAGCCAUUCCGCGUGCAGGAUGAAGGCCCUCGGGUUGUAAACUGCUUUUGUACAGAACGAAAAGGUUUCUACUAAUACUAGGAGCUCAUGACGGUACUGUAAGAAUAAGCACCGGCUAACUACGUGCCAGCCGCCGCAGUAA